AUGGUAGUGGGAACCGAUGAUGCGGCGAGCCAGAGGUGGACGACGCAAGAAAAUUCCACAACCAUGAUGCAUGCUGGAACCGACCAUGGAGAGAUGGAAUCGCAACAGAAGAUGGAGCUCACCUGCAUCCAUGUUGCAAAUUCCCGUCAGCCGCGCGGCGAAAGGCCGCAGUGUUGUAACUGGAGGUUGAGGGAGGAGGGGGAAGAGAGAGUCGUGCGCGCGCGUUUCUACGUAUCUCAUCUAACGGUCAGGGUUAGACCGGCCCAAAGUUUGGGCUGGCUGGCCGGCGGAGAAUUCAGCCCGAAAUAAAAAGGGACAUAGAUGUCUUUCAUAAAUCUCUCCCUAAUAAUAAAGCGGUUAGGGCUGCUGGUCGAACGUCGUCGGUGGUUUUUCGAAAACGCCCCUCCGUUACUUUGAAAUAAACCCGCAAUCCUGUUUAAGUGGAUCUGAUAAAACCGUUUUCACAGAAAACACCCUGCCGCAUUUGCCCGUGUCCGCCGCCACCGACCGCACACCGUGCCUCCACGCGCGGGCGGCUCGCGCUCGUGCCUCCCUGCCGCCCCGCGCCGCCGCCCACCGGAGCUCCGCCGCCGGAACAACGCGCCGCCAUGCCCUCCUCUCCUUCUUCCUUCCCCUCCCUCCUGUUCUAUUUCUCACAUCCCCCUCUCUCUCUCCUUCGCAGGAAGCGGAAGCCAUGGCCCUGGACCUCCAUGCUGGACCGCCGACCCGCGCCGGCCGGCCAUCGGAGCGCCGCCGCUGGACCAACACGCCGCCCUGCCCUCCUCUCCUUCUUCCCUCCCUUCCCUCUGGUUAUAUUUCUCACAUCCCCCUCUCUCUCCCCUUCAAAGGAAGCGGAAGCCAUGGCCGUUGGACCUCCAACUGGACCGCCACCCCAUGCCGGCCGGCCACCGGAGCGCCGCCGUCGGACCAACGCGGGUUGCCGCGCUGGACCGCAGCCUGGACGAAACUCCGGCGAGGCCAUGAGCUCCCGAGUCCCAACCCGGGCUUAGGAGCGUACGGGAGCGCCGUCGUGGAUCAUGCGCGUCCUAGGUCCGCCGAGGCCACGGGCUCCCAAGCCGGGCAUAGGUGCGUACUGGAGCAACGCCCGCCUGGGCGAGGUCCUCCUGCUUCUGGAGAGUUCAUAUGUCUCUUCCUACCGGAGCGUUCGUAAUACUUUGCCUGAUUCUAUUAUGGAUUACCCAUUUACAAGUUGACGUACUUUAUUAAUUUGGUGUCAUAUUAACUACACCGGAUUCUGUUCUUGUGCAAAGGAAAUUUGAUUGGGAUUGACCGCACAUCUUAAAUGCAUCUAGAAAAUUAACCACACAUAGAUUUCACUCUUAUCGCCCUUUUAUUCAAUACAUUUUGAUUGCCGAAAUUUGAAACAAUGACCAGGUUCUGUAGGAAGCACAAGAAAGUGGGUAUGAAAGCUAUGAGACGAUGGCCAAUACAGAUAUUGACAGGGCUGGAAGUCCGGAGCCAACGAAUAUACAUAGCGACUUAAAGUGUGACAAUAUAUUCAUAAAUAGUCCUGAUGGAACAGUGAAGAAUGGCGACUAUAUGGUCUGGCGACAUUAUUGCAUCAAUGGAAAAAGCAAAGUGUCAAAGGCGCAUUAGACUUUAUGGCACCAGAACGCUUCACUGGCAAUUACAAUGAGUUGGGUAUUCCAACCCCCUUGCUGAACCCUGUGCUAUUCGCAGCCUCUUCUGUCAAUCCAGCAGCACACCGCUGCCCUUCGCAUCCUCCCUGCAUCACUGCGACUGGGCCGUGCUCACAUUGUCCGCUGUCACAUGCGCAAUCUCUGCACUCGACGCUGCCUCCACCGAGAUUCAUUGCAAGGUCUGUUCGUAGCCACGGUUCUUGCUCCGUACCAUUGUUGAUGCUCCUGUUAAAGGAGCAUCAGUUUUACGCAUGCUUCCUGGGUCCUUGGUGAGAGGCCUCUGUGAUGUUAUUCUUUUAGGUAAGCUUUACUCAGGUUGCUACUCAUGUCACAGUGUCUGUAAUUUAGCCAGAGUCAGGUUCAGAGUUGUUGACUGAAUUUUUUGGGCACAACCAUCAAGCAACCUGAGUAAAGCUUACCUAAGCCAAUGAUUUUGUUCUAUUAGCUAGAGCCAGGUUCAGAUUUGUUCACUCUGGAUUUUUUGGGCACAACCAUCAAGCAAGCUAGGACGUAUUGUUUAACUGAAGCAAAGGGCAGGUAAGCUAUGAAUGCUUCAUUCUUCGUUCUGAACAAAUGCAGCUACUAUUUGUAUUUGAUCUGAGCAAAGGUGCAACCAAUUGAAGUUAUUUUGAAGAACCUGCACCUGAGUCUAUAUGUUCUGAUUUUAUAGCCUGCAGAGUCUGUAGAGUAAAGUUUGUACAUUUUGUGAAUCGCUUUGUUCCGGUUUCCCCUGGUGGUCUAUACUGUAUCAGGUUAUUUACUAUGUGCAGAUUUGUUUGUGCCAUUGCCGAUCAUGUACUUCUUUCUGUGCUUGGAAGCAUAGUCUCAUCGUAUCCCCUAGAUCUGUAUAAGUAUAUUUAGCUCACAUACACUUGGCAUUUGUUCUUCAAAAGGCGCCACUCCGUGUCCUCUCGCCCUGCACGAUCUUCCCUAAAGGCCACGAGAUCAACAUCAAAGAGCUGUGUGGACUUUAAGAUGUCCUCGAUGCUGGACUCCUGGUAACAGUUUAUUACAUGUUAUUUCUUUUUCUUUUUUGGUGAGUCUUUUCUUGAGAUUUAGGAUUAUGGAGUUAACGGGUGUUACUUUUGACCUGCUAAUACCUCUGCGUUAAACUUUUUGCUCUUCGAAAGCAACUAUGUAAGUCUGACGCUAACAUAAUGUUUACUGCUAUAAUACUUCAGUUUAACUUAGAGUCAGGAACACAAGUAGAAUUUCAUAGAAAUCUGUCUAGCUCCUGUAGAUGAAAGACUUCCUGCAAGUGAGCUCUUGAAUAACUCUUACCUCCAGGAAGAUGAGGUCUAUUCCAGCGCCUCCAAUUUUAGUCUCUCUGGUCUCAAGUGUGACUGAAGAUGGGUGGCAAUCUGCAAGUUUCGUGCUUUGGAAGGGCUGUUUAAAGAAUGCUGAGUUGUCAAGCGAGGUGCUGCAGUGGCUGGCGUUGCCGGGCAUGGGACGACGUCCCUAGGCUCCUGCCUGAGGCAAGCCUCUCUGGCCUCCUCGGAUGCCCUCUAGGAACUGGCACUGCGUAUGAUGGCCUCCUCACCUAGCACCUAGGUUGACCUAGCCACCGCCAUCGAAGCGGAGAGUUGACAACAUAUGUAUGAUUGUUGGACGUGUCAGUCCUGCUCAGUCCUGCCAUUGGCAUGUUCAAAACUAUGAAUUGAGUGACUACAAAUAUGGUUUGAUCAAUGAAAUGAAAGGAUGUUC